UUUCCCUUAGGAUAGCUGGCACUCGCUUGAGCGAGUCUCAUCUGGUAAAGCGAAUGAUUAGAGGCCUUGGGGCCGAAACGACCUCAACCUAUUCUCAAACUUUAAAUGGGUGAGAUCUCUGGCUUGCUUGAACGUUGAAGCCAGAGAUUUUUUUUGCAAUGGAUCAGAGUGCCAAGUGGGCCAAUUUUGGUAAGCAGAACUGGCGCUGUGGGA
rnacentral:rRNA from 1 species